rnacentral:lncRNA from 1 species
GACGGCUUCAAACAACAAUCUUUGCCCUUUAUUACUAGAUUAGUUUAACAUGUGAAAUGUCCAUAAAGUAUCAACAUAUGAUUCGUUUUAGGGCACAUUUCCAACAAUCUCCCACUUGCACUAGAGCCAAUUAGCUUGGUCAUCAGUGAUGAUACCUCUUUUGAAUUUAUUUCAUAAAUGGCUGAGUAGUAAGCCUAGACAAUGGAUAUCUAUAUGUUAUCCAUAGAAGCAACCCUGAGAAUAACGACGUCAUCAUCAUACAUGAUUCCCAAUCAUGUGGUUCAGUCUCUCAUUUAAGUUCGGAUCUUGAUGAGCUAUCGCCCCAUUAGUGUCAUAGUGUCGAUACACUAGAGACACUUUCUGAUUGGAAUCGAAUGGAGAGUUCAUAAACUUUCCCAUCCAAACAACAUUGUUGUAAGCUUCUAUAUGGCGAUAUAUUUUGCAUGUAUGAUGGAACACGAUAAGUCAUUACUUAUAACGUUUCCAUCCAAAUAUCUCUUUUAGUCAUAAUAAAGAGAUAUCCAAUUAUCUCUUCAUUCAAAAUGAAGAGACAUCCAAUGAUGGAUAUGAUAUUAGAUUCAUAAUCUAAUACAUUUACGCUUCCAUUGCGUUACUCUAAUUCUUCCUCAUUCUUGAGGAAUCUAUCCUUGAGUAUUUCUUAAAUACUUAAGGACUCACUUGACAGUUGCCAUGGUUCUGAUCCUGGGCUUGCAUUAAUAUCGGCUUGUACUGUUCUUGGUACAACUCAUAUCAAUGUUUUUCAUACAAUAUGAAAUGCGUAAAUCACCUUUCUGUGUAUGCAUAAAGGAUUCUAUUUACACAUUAUGUUUCUUUGGGAGUCAAAGGGUACAUUCCCUUUGAGAAGAGCAACUUCCUAGUCUCACUAGAGUUGUCCUUCUGAUUGAAGUUUAUCAUCAUAUGAGAAACUUCCUAGCAUCUUUUGUCUAUCAUUAGGGCUUGAUAUAAUCCAAUUAUAUCCUGAAAUCUAUCAUUAUAAAUUUCCAUCCCAUGUAUAUAGACUAUGUCUCCCAUAUAUAUUCUAUCGUUAUAGAAUGUUUAAAAUCAUAACUUUAACGAAGAAGAAUUCCUAAAAUUAAUAUAUCAUAUAUAUGUUCAAAUUUAGGAAUAUGAUUAACUCCCACUAAUCUUUUGUAAACCUAGUAAACAAAUGAUUCAUUUACAUCUUUAUGAGAAAUCAAUCAAAAAUCAUAACUUUAACGAAGAAGAAUUCCUAAAAUUAAUAUAUCAUAUAUAUGUUCAAAUUUAGGAAUAUGAUUAACUCCCACUAAUCUUUUGUAAACCUAGUAAACAAAUGAUUCAUUUACAUCUUUAUGAGAAAUCAAUCAAUUUGAUCUUUCUCUCAUAAAAUGCUUAUAGCUCCCACUAGCUUGCUAAGAUUCAUGAUGGAUGGAUCUCUACAACUUACGUGUCUUGUGGUUCCUAGACAAUCUUGAUAACGGUUUCGGAAACCCAUAUUGUGUCCAAACAUUGAAUCACCAUUUAGCUGUAGCUAGCAAUCUUGAAAUUAAUUUAAACCAAGACUACAUCAAAGAUGGUUUCUUCCAAGUCAACCAAUCUCGUUGAUUGUAGUCACCUUAAGCUAGCAUUUAGCUAUUUAGGUUUCAUUAUUUCGGGUCAAAUGGUACUGUACCAUUUCCUUGAGUAUAUGUUAUAUAUACACUCAAUGUAGUCAUAAGGAUUUUCAUUCUUAUUUCUUUCGAAUUAAGAGGUGUAACUCUAUGACAUAGUCAUAAAGUUCAAACCAUUCAACUGAGACGGUUUAUAUAUCCUUCUCGACUACCUUGGAGCUUGUGGUGUAGGAACUAGGUUGUUAUAUUUGUUGAUUAUUAUCUUGUCUUUCAAAGAACCCAUUGUAGAGUUAUAUCUCUUGUUCAUUUGCUCUAUCUUAGGCAAAUCCUAGUGUAGGAUUACAAUGAACUACCCAACAAACAACAUUUGUUAGUUGGUUUGUAGAAGUGAUAUCCAAAGGUUAAUAUAAGGAUAUCACACAAGAUUGUUCUAAAAACAUAUUGCUUAUUAGCACACAACCUGAAAUCUUAACACGCUUCUUUCCAACUACAUCCUAUGGAGUCAUGAAAAUUUUGGAAGAUCUUCUAAUUGACAAUCAUAUUGUUUUAGAAGUAUAUAUCCUAUAUAUGGGUAAUUGAUAACAUCCAACGAACUAAAUCUUAUUCGAGUUCGUUCUUUUCCCAAUGGAGAAAUCCAUUAUCUUAUGAUGCUACUUGUUGAACAAAAAAAUAAUAAUAAAAAAAAAUUAAAGAGAAGUUUGCAAACAAACAAACUUCUCAAAAGACAAAGGAAAGGUAGC